rnacentral:ncRNA from 2 species
ACGGGAAUCCGGUGAGACGCCGGAGCGGCCCCGCCACUGUGACCGGGACGAAACCGCAGAGGAGCCACCGGGGGCACCCCCCGGGAAGGCGCGGGAGUAGGAGGAACGGAAGCCAGGAGACCG